rnacentral:rRNA from 1 species
UACGAAGGGGGCUAGCGUUGUUCGGAUUUACUGGGCGUAAAGCGCACGUAGGCGGAUCGUUAAGUCGGUGGUGAAAUCCUGGAGCUCAACUCCAGAACUGCCUUCGAUACUGAGAGUCUUGAGUCCGGGAGAGGUGAGUGGAACUGCGAGUGUAGAGGUGAAAUUCGUAGAUAUCGCAAGAACACCAGUGGCGAAGGCGGCUCACUGGCC